rnacentral:sRNA from 1 species
GGGCCGCAAGGGCAGGGCCGUGCUUGUGCUGUCUCUGUGUCACGUCAUCCAGCCGUGCAGACCUCAGCACUGUUUGCCCCAGAACUGCAGCUCACUCGUCUUCUAAGCCGGCACUUCUCAAGAGGACUUCAGGGCUCCCUUCCUUUGUUGGUGGAGCUCAUCUCUGUGGCAUCCGUGGCCUGGAGCCCCAUGGCCUCAUCCUGUGACCUCAGGGUCAUGCUGUCAUUUAUUCAUUUGUUCCCAAACACCCACUUCCCCUUGGAAUGACUGCAGGAGGCCUCAGCACAGGGACAGGCCGUGGUCACUACACACAGAUGGAAUGUCAGUGCUGGGGUAUCUGGGGAGGAGCUCUGAGAGGAGGAGGCUGAGGAUCUUGAAGCCCCUGCCCCAUGUCCCUGACACAGGCUGGGCUGCGAGAUUGGGAGCGGGGGACUCGGGGCCCUUGUGGAGCUGACAGGUGGCCCCGAUAUCAUCACCCUGAGGCUGGUGGGGUUCUUUCCCCUGUGCUGCUUGGGGGUGCGGGGCCAUCUGUGAGGCUCAAGGACUGAGCGGGGGCCCAGGGAGGUCUCAGGGACU